rnacentral:rRNA from 1 species
AAAGGUAAGCUAUUAAGAGCGAAUGGUGGAUGCCUUGGCUGGUAAAGGCGAUGAAGGACGUACUAGACUGCGAUAAGCUACGGGGAGCUGUCAAGAAGCUUUGAUCCGUAGAUUUCCGAAUGGGGCAACCCAGUAUAUAGAGAUAUAUACUACCAUAAUGGAGCGAACGUAGGGAAUUGAAACAUCUUAGUACCUACAGGAAAAGAAAUCAAUAGAGAUUGCGUUAGUAGCGGCGAGCGAAAGCGCAAGAGGGCAAACCCAGUGCUUGCACUGGGGGUUGUAGGACUGCAAUGUGCAAUAGGUGAGGUUAGUAGAACACUCUGGAAAGUGUAGCCAUAGAGGGUGAUAGUCCCGUAUACGAAAACCAAGCCUUAGCUAGCAGUAUCCUGAGUAGGGCGGGACACGAGGAAUCCUGUCUGAAGCUGGGUCGACCACGAUCCAACCCUAAAUACUACUACCAGACCGAUAGUGCACAAGUACCGUGAGGGAAAGGUGAAAAGAACUGAGGUGAUCAGAGUGAAAUAGAACCUGAAACCAUUUGCUUACAAUCAUUCAGAGCACUAUGUAGCAAUACAGUGUGAUGGACUGCCUUUUGCAUAAUGAGCCUGCGAGUUGUGGUGUCUGGCAAGGUUAAGCACACGCGAAGCCGUAGCGAAAGCGAGUCUGAAUAGGGCGCUUAAGUCAGAUGCUGCAGACCCGAAACGAAGUGAUCUAUCCAUGAGCAAGUUGAAGCUAGUGUAAGAACUAGUGGAGGACUGAACCGAUAGGCGUUGAAAAGCCCCCGGAUGACUUGUGGAUAGGGGUGAAAGGCCAAUCAAACUUCGUGAUAGCUGGUUCUCUCCGAAAUAUAUUUAGGUAUAGCGUUGUGUCGUAGUAUAAGGGGGUAGAGCACUGAAUGGGCUAGGGCAUACACCAAUGUACCAAACCCUAUCAAACUCCGAAUACCUUAUAUGUAAUCACAGCAGUCAGGCGGCGAGUGAUAAAAUCCGUCGUCAAGAGGGAAACAACCCAGACUACCAGCUAAGGUCCCUAAAUCUUACUUAAGUGGAAAACGAUGUGAAGUUACUUAAACAACCAGGAGGUUGGCUUAGAAGCAGCCAUCCUUUAAAGAAAGCGUAAUAGCUCACUGGUCUAGUGAUUUUGCGCGGAAAAUAUAACGGGGCUAAAGUAAGUACCGAAGCUGUAGACUUGAUUUUAUCAAGUGGUAGGAGAGCGUUCUAUUUGCGCCGAAGGUAUACCGGUAAGGAGUGCUGGAGCGAAUAGAAGUGAGCAUGCAGGCAUGAGUAGCGAUAAUUAAUGUGAGAAUCAUUAACGCCGUAAACCCAAGGUUUCCUACGCGAUGCUCGUCAUCGUAGGGUUAGUCGGGUCCUAAGUCGAGUCCGAAAGGGGUAGACGAUGGCAAAUUGGUUAAUAUUCCAAUACCAACAUUAGUGUGCGAUGGAAGGACGCUUAGGGCUAAGCAAGCUAGCGGAUGGAAGUGCUAGUCUAAGGUCGUAGGAGGUUAUAUAGGCAAAUCCGUAUAACAAUACUCCGAGAACUGAAAGGCUCUUCAAAGUCUUCGGACAGCGAGGAGAAUUGCUGAUGCCGUCGAGCCAAGAAAAGUUUCUAAGUUUAGCUAAUGUUGCCCGUACCGUAAACCGACACAGGUGGGUGGGAUGAGUAUUCUAAGGCGCGUGGAAGAACUCUCUUUAAGGAACUCUGCAAAAUAGCACCGUAUCUUCGGUAUAAGGUGUGGUUCGCUUCGUAUUAGGAUUUACUCCGAAAGCGAAGAAACUUACAACAAAGAGUCCCUCCCGACUGUUUACCAAAAACACAGCACUCUGCUAACUCGUAAGAGGAUGUAUAGGGUGUGACGCCUGCCCGGUGCUCGAAGGUUAAUUGAUGGGGUUAGCAUUAGCGAAGCUCUUGAUCGAAGCCCGAGUAAACGGCGGCCGUAACUAUAACGGUCCUAAGGUAGCGAAAUUCCUUGUCGGUUAAAUACCGACCUGCAUGAAUGGCGUAACGAGAUGGGAGCUGUCUCAAAGAGGGAUCCAGUGAAAUUGUAGUGGAGGUGAAAAUUCCUCCUACCCGCGGCAAGACGGAAAGACCCCGUGGACCUUUACUACAGCUUGACACUGCUAUUUGGAUAAGAAUGUGCAGGAUAGGUGGGAGGCUUUGAGUAUAU